rnacentral:rRNA from 1 species
AUACGUAGGGUGCGAGCGUUGUCCGGAAUUACUGGGCGUAAAGAGCUCGUAGGUGGUUUGUCGCGUCGUCUGUGAAAUUCCGGGGCUUAACUCCGGGCGUGCAGGCGAUACGGUCAUAACUUAGUACUGUAGGGGAGACUGGAAUUCCUGGUGUAGCGGUGAAAUGCGCAGAUAUCAGGAGGAACACCGGUGGCGAAGGCGAGUUGCUGGGCAGAAACUGACGUUGAGGAGCGAAAGCUUGGGUAGCGAACAGGAUUAGAUACCCUGGUAGUCCUGUGCGUAAACGGUGGGCGCUAGGUGUAGGGGUUUUCCCCUCCUUCUGUGCCGUAGCUAACGCAUUAAGCGCCCCGCCUGGGGAGUACGGCCUCAAGGCUAAAACUCAAAGGAACUGACGGGG